GUUAUAUGUUACCACAAUAUGAUUAAAGUAUUAUAUAAACUGAUUUUUUAAUAACAAUAAAUUAAUCAUUAUACUAAAGUCUGUAUUUUUUUUCCCCUUAUAUCCAUCACAUUGGCGUUAAGUUGCAUAUACAAAAGUAAGUGGCACCACCAGGCGAUAACAAACAGGUCUCAUAAUAAAGCUUCCAGUUACGGUCAAGUAUUUAAUAGCAGCCUUUCAGUGCAUUUCUGCCUGGUGAAAAAGAGCCAAUGAUAAAAUACAGCGUGGCAAAAUCGAAGUAAGCAUAAAUUGCCACGCAGCCGCCAGGUGGCGCCACGGAGACGAGUCAAAAGUGACCGGAAACUGGUAGAAAUUCGACGGAAACGGAUAUGCUAUCUCAUAAUAAAGC
rnacentral:misc_RNA from 1 species